AUGGAGGCCCAAGACGCGCAGACGGUGUGGCGGAACCUCUUCAUGACCUCCACGCAGUCUUUGCUCAGAACACCCAGGCCCGUCUGGAAGCACGCCGGAUUCCCGUUAGACUCCCGGACAGAAGGAAAAGAACAAAGGAGAAAGAAAACAACACAUAAAGUCCCGACUCCUACCGCGUCCAGCAGCCGGAAAAUGUCUUUUAGUCGAGGGUAAAGGUCCUGGAGAUCCAACUUGUUUUCUUCUUCUGGGGCGGUAUGCUCCAAGGCCCCAAGGGAGAAGACAGGCGGAAAGGACAGGAUGGAAGAUUGUGAGCUAUUAAUUUGAAGUUAGUAUUUAGUUUUCAUUCUUAAAUAGUAUUUAGUUAUUUUGUAUUUUAGUAUACAUAGUUCAAUUUGAUGACUAAUUCAUUGGCUAAUACUUUGGGGACGUGAAGGUGAUUUAAGGGCACAGUUAGGUAUAGGACCAGCAUGUACCUGCGUAAUAUAUCGUUUUUACCAGCAUAGGAGAGCAGCGUAUAUAUUUGGUCGCUUGUCUUGUGAGCAAAAUAAAUAUGAAACAGAAGGAAGACCUGCUUGGACAAUCCGUUUGUUCCUACUACUACUACAAAGAAGCUCUAUCAUAAAAGAUAUAAUAGUUGUUCAUUCCUUAUAAUUCUAAAGACCUCUCCCAGACCAACAUACAUUGCUUCUCCUCGAGUUAAUAUCCUGUAAAACAUGAUCUAAUAAUCUGCCACGGCUUUAGUGGGAGAAGGAACUACCGGAGAUAAAUUGGGCCUCUGGCUGAAGAAAUGCAAUUGGUUGAAUUGUUUGUUUUAUUCAUUUAAAAAAUGCAGGUUUUCUUCUGAACAGCUCCAAAUUAGGUUGCUUUGACAUUGGAAAUGAAUGUCUUUAUGUUUUAUCCUGCACCGUGGCUUCCCCUUGUGACGACCGACUUAAUCCCACCUAGUGUCACUUUUAUUUUCCCUACCACAGACGCAUCCCUCAAAAAUACUUCCUAUCGUUUUUUAGUUUCCAGCCCUUUCUCUCCCCAAGAGUUCAGUGAAUCAUCAGCCACACAUAUACGUUCACCUGAUCCCUGUUAGGUUAUCAACCGUCAGCCAGCAAGUCUGUUGGAGUUUACGAUUAGUGCUCUGUCAGGUUUUCUUUGGCUAUUUUUUGUUUCCAGGCCUUUUUUCCUCUUUUCUCUUUGUUGUUUCAAAACCGCUCAUGCCUAUAUGCUGUUUUGGUUUGGUACACAAGUCUAAAGAUCUUGUCAUUAUGAGUCUGUCAAUAUUAUAAAAAUAACUCAAAAUAAAUGAAACCUUUUUCCUUCUAUGUCUUGUAUUUUCUGCAUCUCAGGGUGUGAAUUAUCAUUCUGAAAACAAAAUCAAAAACCAGCAAUUGAUUCAGCCAAUAGCUGAUAAAAUUGUCCAACCCUAGUCUCCAUGGCGAUAGUACAAUGGGUAUAAUACCCACCAAGUUUGUACGAAAAACUAUACUAAAGGUAGAUCUACAGUGGUACUUUCAUUAACCCUGUUAAUGGCAAAUCCAGCCAGAAGCUGUAAAAAAAUGGCAGCUUAGUAUAUUCACAUACACGUUUGAAUCGGCCUUUGUGCACGAUCAGAACCUGCGACUAUGAUAAACAUGUAGAGCUCACACUGAACGUAAACAGAGCCCCCUCUCCAAUGGUGAGUGGAAUAAAGUUCAUCCGAACAGGA
ensembl:lncRNA